rnacentral:rRNA from 1 species
CCUACGGGAGGCAGCAGUAGGGAAUCUUCCACAAUGGGCGAAAGCCUGAUGGAGCAACGCCGCGUGGGUGAAGAAGGUCUUCGGAUCGUAAAACCCUGUUGUUAGAGAAGAAAGUGCGUGAGAGUAACUGUUCACGUUUCGACGGUAUCUAACCAGAAAGCCACGGCUAACUACGUGCCAGCAGCCGCGGUAAUACGUAGGUGGCAAGCGUUAUCCGGAGUUAUUUGGCGUAAAGGGAACGCAGGCGGUCUUUUAAGUCUGAUGUGAAAGCCUUCGGCUUAACCGGAGUAGUGCAUUGGAAACUGGGAGACUUGAGGGCAGAAGAGGAGAGUGGAACUCCAUGUGUAGCGGUGAAAUGCGUAGAUAUAUGGAAGAACACCAGUGGCGAAAGCGGCUCUCUGGUCUGUAACUGACGCUGAGGUUCGAAAGCGUGGGUAGCAAACAGGAUUAGAUACCCCAGUAGUA